AAACGGGAGUAGAGCAACAGGGAUUGCCCUAGUAACGGCGAGUGAAGCGGCAACAGCUCAAAUUUGAAAUCUGGCUUUCGGGUCCGAGUUGUAAUUUGUAGAGGAUGCUUUUGGCGCGGUGCCUUCCGAGUUCCCUGGAACGGGACGCCUUAGAGGGUGAGAGCCCCGUACGGUUGGACACCAAGCCUCUGUAAAGCUCCUUCGACGAGUCGAGUAGUUUGGGAAUGCUGCUCUAAAUGGGAGGUAAAUUUCUUCUAAAGCUAAAUAUUGGCCAGAGACCGAUAGCGCACAAGUAGAGUGAUCGAAAGAUGAAAAGCACUUUGAAAAGAGGGUUAAAUAGCACGUGAAAUUGUUGAAAGGGAAGCGUUUGCGACCAGACCUUUUCGUAGCGGAUCAUCCGGUGUUAUCACCGGUGCACUUCGCUGCGUUUAGGCCAGCAUCGGUUUUUGUAGGGGGAUAAAAGCUUUAGGAACGUAGCUCCCUCGGGAGUGUUAUAGCCCAUUGCAUAAUACCCUUACGGGGACCGAGGACCGCGCUAUAUGCAAGGAUGCUGGCAUAAUGGUCGUCAACGACCCGUCUUGAAACACGGACCAAGGAGUCGAACAUUUAUGCGAGUGUUUGGGUGUUAAACCCUCACGCGUAAUGAAAGUGAACGGAGGUGAGAGCCCUUACGGGUGCAUCAUCGACCGAUCCUGAUGUCUUCGGAUGGAUUUGAGUAAGAGCAUAACUGUUCGGACCCGAAAGAUGGUGAACUAUGCGUGGAUAGGGUGAAGCCAGAGGAAACUCUGGUGGAGGCUCGCAGCGGUUCUGACGUGCAAAUCGAUCGUCAAAUCUGCGCAUGGGGGCGAAAGACUUAUCGAACCAUCUAGUAGCUGGUUACCGCCGA
rnacentral:rRNA from 1 species